UUAAGCGACUAAGCGUACACGGUGGAUGCCCUGGCAGUCAGAGGCGAUGAAGGACGUGCUAAUCUGCGAUAAGCGUCGGUAAGGUGAUAUGAACCGUUAUAACCGGCGAUUUCCGAAUGGGGAAACCCAGUGUGUUUCGACACACUAUCAUUAACUGAAUCCAUAGGUUAAUGAGGCGAACCGGGGGAACUGAAACAUCUAAGUACCCCGAGGAAAAGAAAUCAACCGAGAUUCCCCCAGUAGCGGCGAGCGAACGGGGAGCAGCCCAGAGCCUGAAUCAGUGUGUGUGUUAGUGGAAGCGUCUGGAAAGACGCGCGAUACAGGGUGACAGCCCCGUACACAAAAAUGCACAUGCUGUGAGCUCGAUGAGUAGGGCGGGACACGUGGUAUCCUGUCUGAAUAUGGGGGGACCAUCCUCCAAGGCUAAAUACUCCUGACUGACCGAUAGUGAACCAGUACCGUGAGGGAAAGGCGAAAAGAACCCCGGCGAGGGGAGUGAAAAAGAACCUGAAACCGUGUACGUACAAGCAGUGGGAGCACGCUUAGGCGUGUGACUGCGUACCUUUUGUAUAAUGGGUCAGCGACUUAUAUUCUGUAGCAAGGUUAACCGAAUAGGGGAGCCGAAGGGAAACCGAGUCUUAACUGGGCGUUAAGUUGCAGGGUAUAGACCCGAAACCCGGUGAUCUAGCCAUGGGCAGGUUGAAGGUUGGGUAACACUAACUGGAGGACCGAACCGACUAAUGUUGAAAAAUUAGCGGAUGACUUGUGGCUGGGGGUGAAAGGCCAAUCAAACCGGGAGAUAGCUGGUUCUCCCCGAAAGCUAUUUAGGUAGCGCCUCGUGAAUUCAUCUCCGGGGGUAGAGCACUGUUUCGGCAAGGGGGUCAUCCCGACUUACCAACCCGAUGCAAACUGCGAAUACCGGAGAAUGUUAUCACGGGAGACACACGGCGGGUGCUAACGUCCGUCGUGAAGAGGGAAACAACCCAGACCGCCAGCUAAGGUCCCAAAGUCAUGGUUAAGUGGGAAACGAUGUGGGAAGGCCCAGACAGCCAGGAUGUUGGCUUAGAAGCAGCCAUCAUUUAAAGAAAGCGUAAUAGCUCACUGGUCGAGUCGGCCUGCGCGGAAGAUGUAACGGGGCUAAACCAUGCACCGAAGCUGCGGCAGCGACGCUGAUGCGUUGUUGGGUAGGGGAGCGUUCUGUAAGCCUGCGAAGGUGUGCUGUGAGGCAUGCUGGAGGUAUCAGAAGUGCGAAUGCUGACAUAAGUAACGAUAAAGCGGGUGAAAAGCCCGCUCGCCGGAAGACCAAGGGUUCCUGUCCAACGUUAAUCGGGGCAGGGUGAGUCGACCCCUAAGGCGAGGCCGAAAGGCGUAGUCGAUGGGAAACAGGUUAAUAUUCCUGUACUUGGUGUUACUGCGAAGGGGGGACGGAGAAGGCUAUGUUGGCCGGGCGACGGUUGUCCCGGUUUAAGCGUGUAGGCUGGUUUUCCAGGCAAAUCCGGAAAAUCAAGGCUGAGGCGUGAUGACGAGGCACUACGGUGCUGAAGCAACAAAUGCCCUGCUUCCAGGAAAAGCCUCUAAGCAUCAGGUAACAUCAAAUCGUACCCCAAACCGACACAGGUGGUCAGGUAGAGAAUACCAAGGCGCUUGAGAGAACUCGGGUGAAGGAACUAGGCAAAAUGGUGCCGUAACUUCGGGAGAAGGCACGCUGAUAUGUAGGUGAAGUCCCUCGCGGAUGGAGCUGAAAUCAGUCGAAGAUACCAGCUGGCUGCAACUGUUUAUUAAAAACACAGCACUGUGCAAACACGAAAGUGGACGUAUACGGUGUGACGCCUGCCCGGUGCCGGAAGGUUAAUUGAUGGGGUUAGCCGCAAGGCGAAGCUCUUGAUCGAAGCCCCGGUAAACGGCGGCCGUAACUAUAACGGUCCUAAGGUAGCGAAAUUCCUUGUCGGGUAAGUUCCGACCUGCACGAAUGGCGUAAUGAUGGCCAGGCUGUCUCCACCCGAGACUCAGUGAAAUUGAACUCGCUGUGAAGAUGCAGUGUACCCGCGGCAAGACGGAAAGACCCCGUGAACCUUUACUAUAGCUUGACACUGAACAUUGAGCCUUGAUGUGUAGGAUAGGUGGGAGGCUUUGAAGUGUGGACGCCAGUCUGCAUGGAGCCGACCUUGAAAUACCACCCUUUAAUGUUUGAUGUUCUAACGUUGACCCGUAAUCCGGGUUGCGGACAGUGUCUGGUGGGUAGUUUGACUGGGGCGGUCUCCUCCUAAAGAGUAACGGAGGAGCACGAAGGUUGGCUAAUCCUGGUCGGACAUCAGGAGGUUAGUGCAAUGGCAUAAGCCAGCUUGACUGCGAGCGUGACGGCGCGAGCAGGUGCGAAAGCAGGUCAUAGUGAUCCGGUGGUUCUGAAUGGAAGGGCCAUCGCUCAACGGAUAAAAGGUACUCCGGGGAUAACAGGCUGAUACCGCCCAAGAGUUCAUAUCGACGGCGGUGUUUGGCACCUCGAUGUCGGCUCAUCACAUCCUGGGGCUGAAGUAGGUCCCAAGGGUAUGGCUGUUCGCCAUUUAAAGUGGUACGCGAGCUGGGUUUAGAACGUCGUGAGACAGUUCGGUCCCUAUCUGCCGUGGGCGCUGGAGAACUGAGGGGGGCUGCUCCUAGUACGAGAGGACCGGAGUGGACGCAUCACUGGUGUUCGGGUUGUCAUGCCAAUGGCACUGCCCGGUAGCUAAAUGCGGAAGAGAUAAGUGCUGAAAGCAUCUAAGCACGAAACUUGCCCCGAGAUGAGUUCUCCCUGACUCCUUGAGAGUCCUGAAGGAACGUUGAAGACGACGACGUUGAUAGGCCGGGUGUGUAAGCGCAGCGAUGCGUUGAGCUAACCGGUACUAAUGAACCGUGAGGCUUAACCUU
rnacentral:rRNA from 1 species